CGCUGCUGCUGCAGCAGAGCAAGUACCGAGACUUGCUACUGCCAAUACAUCCACAACAUGCUGCUUCGAGUAUGGAAGAAAUAAUGCUGCUGCAAAUAUAACAUACAUGAAAUAACCCCAUAGCAUACAUGAAUCACCUCAUAGCAGAUCUAUACAGGUGGUGCUGGGGAAGGUGGAGGGGUUCUUAAGCAAUCUGCACCGCUACGGCAAACUCUAGUCAUAUAUUUUAAUGUUGAGCAGCGAGCUCAUUGGCUACCAAUACAGAGAAACCAAUCAGCUGUGCCAUGUGAUAAUGAUGUCAUUACGUCAGACUGAGUUAGACCUAUCGGACUGCGCCAUCAGAGUUUCAUGCCAGAACUCUGUAUUUCUUGGGUAUCUCAACUUUCCUUUUCUAGUGCUUUUCUUCUAGAUCUCUUUACAGUAGUGCAAUGAAAAUAAACUUUUCUUAAUGCUUAUAAAUUUCACUGUAUCUGCAGAAAUGUUUUUAGAAAAUGGUGAAUUAUUUCAUGAAUUUUGUGUUACUGUAAGGAACCAUGAUGUACCAGCUGAUUUGAUAAAUAUCCUUUUAAAAGUAAAUGGCAUUUAUGUUUGCAAAACAAGUUAGACUUACCACAGUUACCACAUGUGAUGCCAAUGCAAAGAAUUCAGGGGAUGAUCGGUUGCUAUAUACUUCUCUGAAAGUUUCAUUUAGACUGAAUCUUAAGUGUAUGCUUCCCUCUUCUAUGGUAGGAGGAUCAGUGUUUGUGGCCUCUGUCGUCAGUGUAAUUUCUGAAUCUGUGGUACCAAAGUUGUUCAACGUAGUAUGUCCUGUUGAUAAAGAACCAGUUUCAGGUUGAUUUGUAGGUUUUUGUGUCACUCUUUCGACAGUGGUGGAGACCUCUGAAGUAUGAGAUACUGUUACUGGCUUCAUUGUUGUUGCUGUUGUUGUUGUCAUUGUUUCAGAAUGUAAUACAGGGGAUGAAACCUCAGCUGAUGUAUUCUUGGUUGAUUCUGGUUCACUGCUAACAGUAGCUGCUGUAGUUGUCCCUGAUGCAGUUGCUGCCAAUGCUGAUGUCACUGGUACCCAGGUAGAAGCUUUGGGCGCAGUAGCAGACUCUCUUGUUGUCACUGCAUCUUCAGUUGUAGUUAUUGUUGCUGUGGUGGUCCCUGCUGUAGUUGCUGGUGAUGCUGAUGUCACUCCUGCUGAUGCUGCAGUAGUUGCACUUGUUGUUCGUACCAACAAUGUUGAGGCUUCUGCAGAUGAUUCUGAAGUUCUGGAUGUUCUUGCAGUUGUUGUUUUUACUUCACCUGUCUCAGGUAUAGUUGAUGAUCCCUCUGUUUUUGGGGCUGCUGCUGUAGUGGGAGCAAAUGUUGAUUUUGUUGUACCAGAUGCUGUCAAUGUAGUUAUUCCUGCUGAUGAAGAACCAGUGUCAGCAUGUGUUGUAGGUUCUUGUGUCACUCUUUCGACAGUGGUGGAGACUUCUGAUGUGUGGGCCACUGUUACUGGCUUCACUGACAUUAAUGUUGUAGAUCCCUUUUGGACUGUUAAGGGUUCUGUUGUGACUUGAGAUGUCACUAGUACCAAGGUUGAAGCUUUGGGUGCAGUAGUAGACUCUGCUAAGCUUGUUGUCGAUGUUGUUGUGACUGUAUCUACUGCCACGGAAUGUAACACAGUAGAUGAACCCACAGCUAGUGUGUUCUUGGUUGAUUCUGGUUCAUUGCUAACAGUUGCUGCUGUGGUUGAGCCCAGUGCUGUUGCUGGCAAUGCUGAUGUCACUCCUGCUGAUGCUGCAGUAGUUGCACUUGUUGUUCGUACCAAUAAUGUUGGGGCUUCUGCAGAUGAUUCUAUAGUUAUGGAUGUGCUUGCAGUUGUUGACUUUACGUCACCUGUUUUAGGUAAAGAUGAUGAUCCCUCUGUUUUUGGUGC
ensembl:lncRNA